ensembl:rRNA 5S_rRNA 5S ribosomal RNA
UCCAGCAGCCGUACCACCCUGCAACUCACAACUGGCAACCCACUGAAGCUAAGCAGGUGUGAGCCUGGUCAGUACCUGGAUGGGAGACCUCCUGGGAAAAACUAAGUUGCUGCUGGAA